rnacentral:rRNA from 1 species
UACGAAGGGGGCGAGCGUUGUUCGGAAUCACUGGGCGUAAGGGGGCGGAGGCGGGCCUCCUUGGUGCGGGUGAAAGCCCCGGGCUCAACCUGGGAACGGCGCGCGAAACGGGGGGGCUGGAGUUCGGGAGAGGAGCGUGGAAUUCCCAGUGUAGAGGUGAAAUUCGUAGAUAUUGGGAAGAACACCGAUAGCGAAGGCAGCUUACUACAUGAAGAUUGACGCUGAGGCACGAAAGCGUGGGGAGCAAACAGG